GCCGGGCGCUGUGGCUCACGCCUGUAAUCCCAGCACUUUGGGAGGCCGAGGUGGGCGGAUCACCUGAGGUCAGGAGUUCAAGACGAGCCUGACCAACAUGGUGAAACCCCAUCUCUA
rnacentral:sRNA from 1 species